rnacentral:rRNA from 1 species
CAACUUUCAACAACGGAUCUCUUGGUUCUGGCAUCGAUGAAGAACGCAGCGAAAUGCGAUAAGUAGUGCGAAUUGCAGAAUUCAGUGAAUCAUCGAAUCUUUGAACGCACAUUGCGCCCUUUGGUAUUCCAAAGGGCAUGCCUGUUCGAGCGUCAUUU